CAAUAGCGUAUAUUUAAGUUGUUGCAGUUAAAAAGCUCGUAGUUGGAUUUCUGCUGAUCGCUGUCGGUCUGCCGUCAGGUGUGUACUGGCAGUGUUUGGCAUCUAUUCGAGAUUGGGUGUCCACUUGAUUGUGUGCACUCGAUGUCGGAGCUAAUACUUUGAGAAAAUUAGAGUGUUCCACGCAGGCGCGUGCCUUGAAUACUGCAGCAUGGGAUAUUGGAAGGCCGAUUGAGCUUUCUUGUUGGUUCUCGGUUUGAUCGGAAUGAUUAAUAGGGAUAGUUGGGGGCAUUCGUAUUCAGCCGUCAGAGGUGAAAUUCUUGGAUCUGCUAAAGACGGACAACUGCGAAAGCGUUUGCCCAGGAUGUUUUCAUUGA
rnacentral:rRNA from 1 species